rnacentral:rRNA from 1 species
AUUGAACGCUGGCGGCAGGCCUAACACAUGCAAGUCGAACGAGUGGCGGACGGGUGGGUAAUGUCUGGGCAACUGCCUGAUGGAGGGGGAUAACUACUGGAAACGGUAGCUAAUACCGCAUACCAUCGGAUGUGCCGAGGUGGGAUUAGCUAGUAGGUGGGGUAAAGGCUCACCUAGGCGACGAUCCCUAGCUGGGCUGAGAGGAUGACCAGCCACACUGGAACUGAGACACGGUCCAGACUCCUACGGGAGGCAGCAGUGGGGAAUAUUGGACAAUGGGCGAAAGCCUGAUCCAGCCAUGCCGCGUGUAUGAAGAAGGUCUUCGGGUUGUAAAGCACUUUCAGUGGGGAGGCGUUAUCUGCAGAAGAAGCACCGGCUAACUCCGUGCCAGCAGCCGCGGUAAUUC